CGCGUAGGCGGUGUUUUAAGUGAGAUGUGCAAUCCCCGAGCUUAACUUGGGAACUGCAUCUCAGACUGGAACGCUAGAGUACUGGAGAGGGUGGUAGAAUUCCACGUGUAGCGGUGAAAUGCGUAGAGAUGUGGAGGAAUACCAGUGGCGAAGGCGGCCACCUGGACAGUAACUGACGCUGAGGCGCGAAAGUGUGGGUAGCAAACAGGAUUAGAUACCCUGGUAGUCCACGCUGUAAACGAUGAACACUUGGUAUGGCGGGAGUUGACCCCUGCCGUGCCGUAGCUAACGCGAUAAGUGUUCCGCCUGGGGAGUACGGUCGCAAGGCUGAA
rnacentral:rRNA from 1 species